UUGUGUUUUUGCGGUUUCCCUUUGUAUUUAUGCACUGCACACAUCAACACACCAACACACACACACAUGAACACUGACAGACUGCCAUUGAGUAGAGUCAAAUGCAUGUGCAGAACAUUCCACAUCAUGUCAAGCGGAAAGGAGCUCCCUCUCCAGAUUCGUUUUAUGAAGGUUUAACAACUUUUUGAUACAAAUUUGGCUGCCUUACUGCUCGCCUGCAUGCCUAUGCCAGCCUGCAUCUGCGAGAUUUCGUUGAUUUUUGUAGUCCAAGGACACACAAGGAUUGUGGGCGUCAGUAUUUUUGCAGAUGUGAGAGUUUGAGGGGCUGUAAAACCUCGCCUUUUAUUGGUAAAGACAUUGAAAUUUGUGAUCAGUCAAAUAGUCAGUGCCCGAACGAAACCUAGCUGCCAGAUUCAUGAUUGUUUGACACUCUGGAAUAUUAAGUGCGACACUCGACUUGUGAAACAUCAAACCGAAAACCAUGAUUAAAAAAAAUUCAAUAGUGUCCGUUUAAAUCUAACUCAAGAGGAAUUUGCAGAAGAAAACGAAAGAAGACAUGCCCAUCUUGCAUAUUUUCGUAAAUGUAGACUUGAAUUGUGCCGCUUUCGAAUGCGAUUCCGCAAACGCCUACAAAUAUCUUCAUCUUCAUCAAAUAUCGGUUCAUUGGCAUAAGCUGCGCUGGUGCCAAGGUGAAAUUGAAAACUUUGACUCAUCCGACAGAGCCAUUGUAUUCGUUUCUCUAUGGAAAUACAAUCCAAUGAAAACAUUUCAUGGCGAAUACACAAAAUUAAAGCUAUGUAUAAGAUCUUUUUCGUUGGUGAUAAGGCAAUUGAACUAGAUAAGUGCUGUGCACUGAACGUGAGAUGAUAGAACGAUUGUAAAAUUGUUUAAAGCCGCUUUGGAUACAAUGCAUUCUGAUGACCAGAGCAGACAAAAGACCCGCUGGAGGCCAUGGAAGACAAUUCAAUGAUCCAACUAUCAAUGAAAUCCCACUGGUAUUUGUUGACGAGAAUGUGAAAUGUCGCGAUAUUCUUCUCAGGUGCCUCGAGAUGGUGGACAAUUGCAACGCGUGUACGAGAUUCUUCGGUUAUAUCGUGUCGUGGAGAGGAUGGCUAUCACUUCAAUAUAAAGAUGGUCAAUCCAACGACAGCUCUGGAGUUGUUGCUCUGAAUUGCUGCAUAAGAAUUAAGAGAUGCCUUAAGCAAAUCUUGUUAAUUUUUAGUAUUCACUUUCGAAAGCAUGUGAGUGGUUUUGUUUUUUUUUUUAGUGAAAAAUUAAACAAAAGGAUAUCUUUUUUAAAUAAA